UACGUAGGGUGCGAGCGUUUAAUCGGAAUUACUGGGCGUAAAGCGUGCGCAGGCGGUUUUGUAAGCCAGAUGUGAAAUCCCCGGGCUUAACCUGGGAAUGGCAUUUGGGACUGCAAGGCUGGAGUGUGGCAGAGGAGACGUGGAAUUCCUGGUGUAGCAGUGAAAUGCGUAGAUAUCAGGAGGAAUACCGAUGGCGAAGGCAGGUCUCUGGGCUGACACUGACGCUCAUGCACGAAAGCGUGGGGAGCAAACAGG
rnacentral:rRNA from 1 species